GUGGGAUGUAGCCAAAUGGAUCAAGGGAGUGGACUGUGAAUCCCCCCAGCGUGGGUUCAAUUCCCGUCGUUCACC